CCUCCCUCCCUUUCUUCCAUCUUUUCAUUAUCCAUUAUUUUUCAUUUUCUCCCACAAUAAUCCUGCAAAAUAGUCUGGUCAGAGAUUAUCACUGAAAUUUAAUGAGGAACUUAAGUCACAGAGAAGUGGAGUCAUUCUUUUAGAAUUUAUCCCCCCAAUGUUCUCCCCACAGAUCUGAAUCCCAGGUCGUGUGUCUUCUACCACACCACAACUUUAUUCCCCUGCAGGAGCACAGCCUCUGCCAGAAUAUUUCUGCUUUCACCAUGAUAUCAUGAAAGAAAGAAGCAAGAUGAAAAAACCCCUAGAUUUAUGAUUCAUCUCCCUUUUUCAGGAAAAUAGAAAUUUGGCAUCAUUUUCCAAAUGGGGUGGAAAUUAAGCUGCACACCUAGCUGCAAGCACUGGGUGAUCUCCCUCAAGAAACCAGCUCCAGCUCAAGUAGGAGAUGGGUUCUUUCAGCUCAGCUAACCCAAGCUCCUUCCCAAGCUGCGCACGAUGAGACCUGCUACUGCUUCAAGUUGCUCACGGUUUGUGUGACGUGCCACAUAGAGGGGACUUGGGAGACCAUGGAGGGAGUCCCCACCCCCUCCAGCAGCCUGCAGCAGCCUCCAAGCUACUUUCUCUCUCUAUGAAUCUGACUACCCGAGGAACCUCAGACCAGGUUACAACAUGCCAUGUGGAUCACUGGUCCCAGACCCCAAUACCUGCUUGACUUUCUGCUUCAGCACCAUCAUGAGGAAUAGCAGUGUCUGGGUCCCAAUCCCAAAUUCCUGGAAGGUGGAUCUAUCUAGAAGAGGUGCGUUUACCUGGGGAAAGAGGACAGGGUAGCUGAGCCCACACUCCUCACGCAGAAUUCAUGGCUGGGGGACGGGACAGGAAGAUCCAUCCAAAGGGAUUCCACACCUGUCUGGCAACUUUUUCUUGCACUUCCAGAUCUCAGGCUUCAAUGGGAUCAUUCAUGGUCAAGAAACUUAUGAACAGUACAACCAUUCUGCAGGAAAAAUGGUGCACUCAGAAGGUUAACUCAAGGGAGAGAAUGAGGGUGCUUAGGAAAGAGUGGGCAGAAUUAAGGGAACCAAGCUGAGAUGGUGAAACACUCUGGGACAAGCAACAGGAGAACCAGUCCCACCCAUACAUGGGUCUGAAGGGGGAGAGGAAGGAAGCUGUCACUGCCGAAACCAGAGAGGACUGAAGCCAGCAGUGGUGGGUUCGAGGGUGAGGGUCCAAACUGCAGGCAGAGCAGAGGAGGCAGAGCAAGAAAUAGCCAGUCGCUCUCUCCUCCCACCCAACCUGAAGCCAGGGGACAGGGCACUUGGGUGAUGAGUUUAUAGGGUUCGGCCUCCUGGGUCACAGAGCAGGGCGGAGAAGGAUGCCAAGUGGAUGCCGCUGGGGUGGCAUGAUGGAAAUUACCCAGCCCGGGUGGUUAUGAUGUACAUUUUCAGAACAUGACAAGUGUUCCACUCCUGACUUUGUCAUCUUACUCCUAGAAAUGUAGUUUGAAGAAAGGAUGCAAAUUAGAAUUUUUAUUUGUACUAACUUUUGGGAGGCAGUAUGGCUUAAUGACAAAGUGUGGGCUUUGGGGUCAGAAAGAUCAAAUUGCAGUCCAGGCUCUCCUCCUUCUUAGCUCUAUGGGAUUUGGGGUCUCUAUCUGGAUUGACCUCUCAGAGCCCCAUUUUCUUCAUCUGUAAUACCAUUCGUUUCCUGUGGCUGUUGUAAUAAAUCACCACAAAACUCGGUGGCUUAAAACAACAGAAAUCUAGUCGCUCACAGUUCUCAAGGCCAGAAGUCCUAAAUCCGGGUGUCAGCAGGGCCAUGCUCCCCCCGGAGGCUCUACCAGAGAAUCCAGUUCAUGCCUCUCUCCCAGCUUCCAGUGACUACUGGAGUCAGUCCUUGGUGCUCCUUAGUCUGUAGCCGCAUCCUUCCAAUCUCUGCCUCCAUCUUCACAUUGCUUUCUCCUCUGUGUCUGUGUGGUCUCCCUCUGACUCACUCUUACAAGGACACUCAUUGGAUUUAGGGCCUGCCCAGAUAAUUGAGAAUAAUCCUAUCCUAAGAUACUUAAGUACAUUUGCAAAGACCCUUUUACCAAAUAAGGUCACAGUCACAGAUUCCAGGGAUUGGGAUGUAGACAUAUUUUCCCCUGCUUUGGUGUGUGUGGCGGGGGAAGACACCAUUCAACCCAUUUAAGAAACUGGAGGAAGCGGGGCGCCUGGGUGGCUCAGUUGGUUAAGCGACUGC